GACGAACGCUGGCGGCGUGCCUAACACAUGCAAGUCGAACGGCCCAGCACUCAAGCUUGCUUGGGUGCUGGAUAGUGGCGAACGGGUGAGUAACACGUGGGUGACCUACCCGGGAGACCGGGAUAACAGCUCGAAAGGGCUGCUAAUACCGGAUGACAUCACAGGAUCGAAGUUUUGUGAUCAAAGCGAUUUAGCGCUCCUGGAUGGGCCCGCGUCCCAUUAGCUAGUUGGCAGGGUAACGGCCUACCAAGGCGACGAUGGGUAGCCGGUCUGAGAGGAUGUCCGGCCACACUGGGACUGAGACACGGCCCAGACUCCUACGGGAGGCAGCAGUGGGGAAUUUUGCGCAAUGGGGGGAACCCUGACGCAGCGACGCCGCGUGGGUGAUGAAGGCCUUCGGGUCGUAAAGCCCUGUCUGGGGGGAAGAUAGUGACGGUACCCCCGGAGGAAGCCCCGGCUAACUACGUG
rnacentral:rRNA from 1 species